rnacentral:rRNA from 1 species
CACAUUUGGUAGAGACUAUUGAAGCCACCUGGUCCCAGCAGACCCCAGAAAACGGCCACAUUCGCUGGUGCUGGAACGUCAUUAAGGGUGAAGCCUGGUGCCAGAUGUGU